GGAUUUAUAGCUCAGUGGUAGAGUAUUUGACUGCAGAUCAGGAGGUCCCUAGUUCAAAUCCAGGUUACUCCU